rnacentral:rRNA from 1 species
UACGGAGGGUGCGAGCGUUGUCCGGAAUCACUGGGCGUAAAGGGCGCGUAGGUGGCGCGGUAAGUCAACGGUGAAAGUUCGGGGCUCAACCCUGAAUCGGCCGUCGAUACUCCCGGGCUCGAGCACUGUAGAGGCAGAUGGAAUUCCGGGUGUAGCGGUGGAAUGCGUAGAGAUCCGGAAGAACACCGGUGGCGAAGGCGGUCUGCUGGGCAGUUGCUGACGCUGAGGCGCGACAGCGUGGGGAGCAAACAGG